rnacentral:rRNA from 1 species
UGGGGAAUAUUGCGCAAUGGAGGAAACUCUGACGCAGUGACGCCGCGUAUAGGAAGAAGUUUUUCGGAAUGUAAACUAUUGUCGUUAGGGAAGAGAAAGGACAGUACCUAAGGAGGAAGCUCCGGCUAACUACGUGCCAGCAGCCGCGGUAAUACGUAGGGAGCGAGCGUUAUCCGGAAUUAUUGGGUGUAAAGGGUGCGUAGACGGGAGAACAAGUUAGUUGUGAAAUCCCUCGGCUUAACUGAGGAACUGCAACUAAAACUAUUUUUCUUGAGUGCUGGAGAGGAAAGUGGAAUUCCUAGUGUAGCGGUGAAAUGCGUAGAUAUUAGGAGGAACACCAGUGGCGAAGGCGACUUUCUGGACAGAAACUGACGUUGAGGCACGAAAGUGUGGGGAGCAAACAGGAUUAGAUACC